UCGUAUACAGCAAAGAAAUGGUAGGAAAAGUCUGACUACAGUUCAAGGGCUGAAGAAGGAAUUUAGCUACAAUAAGAUCCUCAAAGACCUGAAGAAGGAAUUCUGCUGUAAUGGUACUGUUGUUCAGGACCCAGAGCUAGGCCAGGUGCGUGGACAUUUAUUCCCAUCACCAUCUCUUCCCCUAUUUAUAAAAGAAAGACGAAGAGAUUAUCUCAAUUUAUCUUUUUGAUUUUCUUAGUGAGAAAUUUUUCUUUGGCACGUCUGAGUGA
rnacentral:lncRNA from 1 species